rnacentral:misc_RNA from 1 species
AACGCACGAGACCUGCGGACCUGCGGAAGGAUCAUUAAUGAGAAACUGCCCCUCGCGGGUAGAUCUCCCACCCUUUGUAAACUUACCUUUGUUGCUUUGGCAGGCCCGUCUCCGGACCGCCGGCUUCGGCUGGCCAGUGCCUGCCAGAGGAUUCUAAAACUCUGUCUGUCAGUGUUGUCUGAGUCUGUAUACAAUCGUUAAAACUUUCAACAACGGAUCUCUAGAUCGGAAGAGCACACG